rnacentral:rRNA from 1 species
UGGGGAAUAUUGCACAAUGGAGGGAACUCUGAUGCAGCGACGCCGCGUGAACGAAGAAGGCUUUCGAUUCGUAAAGUUCUUUUAUAUGGGAAGAUAAUGACGGUACCAUAAGAAAAAGCCCCGGCUAACUACGUGCCAGCAGCCGCGGUAAUACGUAGGUGGCUAGCGUUGUCCGGAAUCACUGGGCGUAAAGGGUUCGCAGGCGGAGAUGCAAGACAGGUGUAAAAGGCAGUAGCUUAACUACUGUAAGCAUUUGACACUGCAUAUCUUGAGAAGAGUAGAGGUAAGUGGAAUUUUUAGUGUAGCGGUGAAAUGCGUAGAUAUUAAAAAGAAUACCGGUGGCGAAGGCGGCUGACUGGGCUCAUGAUGACGCUGAGGAACGAAAGCGGGGGGAGCAAAAAGG